rnacentral:tRNA from 1 species
GGUAAGAUGGCCGAAUGUUAGGCGGUAGGCUGUAGACCUAUUAACAGGGGUUUGAUUCCCCUCCUUAUCA